UCCGUAGGUGAACCUGCGGAAGGAUCAUUACCAAUUCAACGGUGUGGUCGCGGCCUCCGGGGGCUUCCCUCCGGGCGGUAGAGGUAACACUCUCACGCGCCACAUGUCUGAAUCCUUUUUUUACGAGCACCUUUCGUUCUCCCUCGGUGGGGCAACCUGCCGUUGGAACUUAUCAAAACCUUUUUUGCAUCUAGCAUUACCUGUUGAGAUACAAACAAUCGUUACAACUUUCAACAAUGGAUCUCUUGGCUCUGGCAUCGAUGAAGAACGCAGCGAAAUGCGAUAAGUAUGUGAAUUGCAGAAUUCAGUGAAUCAUCGAAUCUUUGAACGCACAUUGCGCCCCUUGGUAUUCCAUGGGGCAUGCCUGUUCGAGCGUCAUCUACACCCUCAAGCUCUGCUUGGUGUUGGGCGUCUGUCCCGCCUCCGCGCGUGGACUCGCCCCAAAUUCAUUGGCAGCGGUCUUUGCCUCCUCUCGCGCAGCACAUUGCGCUUCAGAGGGGCGUGGGCCGCGUCCACGAAGCAACAUUACCGUCUUGACCUCGGAUCAGGUAGGGAUACCCGCUGAGCUUAA
rnacentral:rRNA from 1 species